GGUGGGACUACCCGCUGAACUUAAGCAUAUCAAUAAGCGGAGGAAAAGAAACUAACAAGGAUUCCCUUAGUAACUGCGAGUGAACCGGGAUGAGCUCAAAUUUAAAAUCUGGCGGCCUUGUCGUCCGAGUUGUAAUCUGGAGAAGCGUUUUCCGCGUCAGACCGUGUACAAGUCUCUUGGAAUAGAGCGUCAUAGAGGGUGAGAAUCCCGUCCAUGACACGGACUCCUAAUGCUAUGUGAUACGCUCUCAAAGAGUCGAGUUGUUUGGGAAUGCAGCUCMAAAUGGGUGGUAAAUUCCAUCUAAAGCUAAAUAUUGGCGAGAGACCGAUAGCGAACAAGUACCGUGAGGGAAAGAUGAAAAGCACUUUGGAAAGAGAGUUAAACAGUACGUGAAAUUGUUGAAAGGGAAACGCUUGAAGUCAGUCGCGUCGUAUGGGGCUCAGCCGGUCUUUUGACUGGUGUAUUCUCUGUGUCGACGGGUCAACAUCAAUUUUGACCGGUGGAGAAGGGCUUAGGGAAUGUAGCGUCGUUUCGGCGACGUGUUAUAGCCCUAGGUCGUAUACAUCGGUUGGGAUUGAGGACCGCAGCACGCCCUUGUGGCCGGGGGUUCGCCCCACGUUUCGUGCUUAGGAUGU
rnacentral:rRNA from 1 species